GAUGAACGCUGGCGGCGUGCCUAAUACAUGCAAGUCGAGCGAACGGACGAGAAGCUUGCUUCUCUGAUGUUAGCGGCGGACGGGUGAGUAACACGUGGAUAACCUACCUAGAAGACUGGGAUAACUUCGGGAAACCUUAUCUAAUACCGGAUAAUAUUUUGAACCGCAUGGUUCAAAAGUGAAAGACGGUCUUGCUGUCACUUAUAGAUGGAUCCUCGCUGCAUUAGCUAGUUGGUAAGGUAACGGCUUACCAAGGCAACGAUGCAUAGCCGACCUGAGAGGGUGAUCGGCCACACUGGAACUGAGACACGGUCCAGACUCCUACGGGAGGCAGCAGUAGGGAAUCUUCCGCAAUGGGCGAAAGCCUGACGGAGCAACGCCGCGUGAGUGAUGAAGGUCUUCGGAUCGUAAAACUCUGUUAUUAGGGAAGAACAUAUGUGUAAGUAACUGUGCACAUCUUGACGGUACCUAAUCAGAAAGCCACGGCUAACUACGUG
rnacentral:rRNA from 1 species